rnacentral:rRNA from 1 species
GGGGAAUCUUGCGCAAUGGGCGAAAGCCUGACGCAGCCAUGCCGCGUGAAUGAUGAAGGUCUUAGGAUUGUAAAAUACUUUCACCGGGGACGAUAAUGACGGUACCCGGAGAAGAAGCCCCGGCUAACUUCGUGCCAGCAGCCGCGGUAAUACGAAGGGGGCUAGCGUUGCUCGGAAUUACUGGGCGUAAAGGGCGCGUAGGCGGAUCGUUAAGUCAGAGGUGAAAUCCCAGGGCUCAACCCUGGAACUGCCUUUGAUACUGGCGAUCUUGAGUAUGAGAGAGGUAUGUGGAACUCCGAGUGUAGAGGUGAAAUUCGUAGAUAUUCGGAAGAACACCAGUGGCGAAGGCGACAUACUGGCUCAUGACUGACGCUGAGGCGCGAAAGCGUGGGGAGCAAAC